rnacentral:lncRNA from 1 species
UUCUCCAACAUUUGGGCCUGCUAUGCAGUUAUUCAAGUCAAAUUUCACACGUAACAAGUUAUUGUGAAACAUGAAUAACAUGAUGAUGAUCAUCAUCGAUAGGGAUAGGAAUUGUGAUCAAAGAGACUAAACGAUCUUUAGUCACCCCAACCGAUGUCCCAAUACCAUCACCGUGUUGAAAUAUGCAGUGAGCAGUUCGUGCCAUAUUGAGUGACAUGUUCACAAUCGAUUUUGAUAUAGUAGCUUUUGGCACUCUCUUCAUUGAUUUUCUUCCAUGAAUAGCAGAUUAAGCCCUUUAUGUAUUCUUGUGCUUCUUCUUCCGAUAUGCCUUUCUCUUCCAUGUAAAUGGACUUUGCAACAUCCCCUCUCUCGUUUUCAGCCUUCGAGCAAUUGAAAAGAAAUAAGGAUUAGUACAUAGGGUGAAGUCUGGUAAGACAGUCCAACACAUUAUGUUGUCAAAGACCCUAUUGUAUUUAUAUUAGAAUCUUCCAUUUUUUGUGAAAUGUACAUUAUACAAGUUUUUCGUUCGGAUUUAAAGUUUGACGACAUAAUACGUCACGUAUCACCUAACAUAAUAUGUUACAUCUAUACGAAUAUGAUAUAUACCUUGGAAGUGCCCAAAUCAUCUGUAAGUCGUGUUAUGAUGGAUGCCCAGUAUAUCAGUUGAUAGCCAUGGUUAGAGGACUCAAGUGAAGCUUUUGUUAGUUGGGAUCCUUGUGUUAACAGAUAAGCAUGGAGCAUUGCUCCCGGACCACCCACUGAAGUCCAUGCAUUCUUCAAAUACUCCUCAAGAGUUGGUGUGUAUCCGCCGUAGAACCACCGUGCUUCCACCAUAUAAGACUUGCAAAGAUUUUCCCACUGCAGCACACAAACAAAAACUAGUAUUAUUUGGGUUCAAUUAUUCUAAUGAAGUAGAUUCCUCGUCGUCAGUUAGUUUUAUAUUCCAGGAAUUAAUCAAACAAAGGCAUAGUUUUAGAAUGUGAUUGAAGGAUUUAGGCUUCUUCUUGAUUAUAAUAAUGGGAACCAACUAAGAUGCCAUACUAUCAUGUUUUUAAUAUGCAUGUAUAAUUGAGACUUAGUUAAGUAUGUACCGCUUUCUUAAUAAGAGGAAGUGUGUUUUGGUCAGCUAACUCGUUGCCAAAGGUGAACAUGGUAGAAUAAAUUGGUUUCAUGUACUCAGGAAUGUCCUCAUUAGCCUUCAGAUUCCAUCUGUUACAGCAACAAAUUAGAUUAGGACAUAUAUAAUCAAUUAGUCUCUGAUUAGUCGAUAACCAACACCAACUUACUGAGUAUAAUAGGCAACUCUCACUCGCAUGCCUCGUCUUUACCUGGUAUAUAUGGUCAACUAAUUAGAGUGAUUUCUAAUUAAUUUAAGCUAAUUCAUCACUGUUAAUUAAUUUUUCGUUCUUAAUCUGAUUAGUGUGCUUGUGAUUGAUGAUGAUCAGGGUCAUUCUAGCCGUUGGAUUGUCAAUGCUGGUGAUAGGGACUUGGUCGAACCACAAGUCAAGAGCUUCGUGUGGAUUCACACACCAUCAUUUUCUUUCCACUGGAGGCAUCUUGUGCUUUGUUCAUGGCCUCUUUUGUGUAGCGUAUUAUAUUACUGCCACUUCUACCGACUAAUUAGUGAUUAGUAGCACUAAACCAGCCUCUUGCUUUAAGGAUUGUUUGUGCCUAGCUUUCUCAACUUUACUAAUUCAUCCCUUUCAUAUUUUCUAACUCUGAACUUCUGAAAUCUGAACUUCUGAACUUCCAUUUGAGUUGUACGUACACUGCUAUAUUUCAUUCUUAUUUUUUAUUAAAAAAAGAUUUGGAAAAAUGAAUAAUAGAGCAUUUCUGAAUUAACUUUCCAAACAAACUAUAACAAACAUCAAUUAAACUUAAUUAACACUAGAUGAUGAGAGAGAAUGCCAUAACCAACUAACUAAUUAAUUGCACGAUGGGAUCAUGGAAGCGUACAAAAGAAAGUUGUAACACAAACUCUAUAUAUCUGAUGUAGGUGUUCGUAUUAGGCCUCAUUUCUUUUCUUUUUUGGCAAAUAAAGAACUCCAUUAGAUAAAAAAGAAAGCACCUAAGGGGAGAUAAAAAAAAAAAAAACAACCUAAGGGUACAUGAACCCAAAAACCUUAUAGCAAAAAUAACAAAAAGCUAAAGAUGACCAAAAUAUAUAAAAACUAAGUUGAGUUGAUCGAAUCAGAUCAGGGAACACAAUGUGUGUCCGAUUGCAAGUAGGGUAAGAGUCUGGUGAAUCUCUUUUCAAUUUCGGUUUUUUUUUUGAGAUUGUGGAAGAGACUUAAGAGGAUUGUCAUCUUCUAGUGUUGUUUCACGCUCGUCAAACCAAAAACACAAAAGACUGAUAUGAGCAUGAACAUUUGUAUAUGAUGAUCGAGAGGAAUUAUUACCUGUACCCGGCACAUUGCUGAGUGGUGUUCCCAACCCAAUAGUUCUAGGACCCGUGUAAAAUUAUUUAAAUAAGAAAUACGUGGAUGGUUUGGCCUGUUAACUCCGUCAAUCUGCGUUAUGCAGUAGUUCUUCUUCUUCACUCUUCAUUGAACGAAAAAGAUAGAAAACAAAGAACUUGAUUUGGAUCCAAAAGCGAUGUGUAGUGAAAUAUUGAUUGGGUUCAAAGAGAUUAUGCUUUGUCAUCAGACUUGUAUAUAUGUGGGUGAAGAAUCAGUUUAGAUCCCAACAGAGAAGACAACUACCCCUUCUUUGGUUCUUGAAUGCGAGGAAGAAGGUUUGGGUGCCCAGAGAAAAUUCUGGGUACCUGCAUAUUGGCUCGUUAGUCGGUUUUUGAUGUCGUCAGACGAUCGGGAAGGCAGGAACCGAUUUGUCGGAAGUCGGUGGGACACGGUGGUGCUCGGAAGUUGGCGGUGGAGGAGAGAGGAAAACUCAGAUCUAUUUUUUCUCUCCUCUCAAAUCUCUAUAAACCGAACAUAGAAGCUUAAAUUGGCUUUGUUGGUGGAAAUUUGUUUUACUUGGGUACGUAAGAUCGACCUGAGUUUCAUUGAGCUUCCUUCUCCUUCAUAAGAAUGGAUCUGAUUUCUUGAACUUUUCUUCUUGUUUCCCUAUAACAGACCAAUAACACCGUUUUAAGUCAGGUGAGUGAUGUGUUAAAAAAAAUACACAUGUCCUAGAAUUAUUGGGUUGGGAACACCACUCAGCAAUGUGCCGGGAACAGAUAAUAAUUCCUCGAUGAUCGAGGAAGUAGAUUCUUAGCUAGUUGUGUCUCUGGAACAUGUGAGGCGUGCAUGUACCAUGUCGUUAUGUACUCUACGUGAAUCCCAGAUGAUACAUUAGGGUCAGCAGAAGAGUAAUCUCCAAUAUGUUGGAUCACCUCCACUACUUCCUUAACAACAUAAACUUGAGAAACAUUAUUCUUCUUUGGAUGAUGUCGACGAGUUCGACUACGUUUUCGCCCCCUCCAUGUAUCAAUUUCAAUGUCCUAUGACUCCUUGGCUUGAGCAGGACGAUACCGCUUACAAGAGCUAAUAGCAUGACUCACAUUACCACAAUGAAAGCAUAAUAGAGGCAAAUGUUCAUACUCAACUUCCAAAAUUAGGGUUCCACCCUAAGCUCUAAUGGGGUUAUGUGGAAAGAUCAAUAUCCACCAAAACCCUUGCAUAUAGGCUGAACUUUCGGUCAAGUGUGUUCGUAUCAAUCCUGAUUGGGAUGCUAAUUUCAUUGGAAAUUUCAAAUAUUGUUUGGGCUCCAAGAUCGCAGAAUAUCACCCAUAUUUGGGCAUUUGUAUUGCGCUGACAUGCAAGGGGAAAAAUUGGGAGUCCAGCGCAUGAACCUCAAUGUUGCAGGCCUCAAAGCAAUGGCACCCAUUGCCCAAAUUCUUGUCAUACAAUCCUCAUAUGCAAAUUGUAAACAAUAACAACCUCGACCCAUUGGAAUAAGUUUCUGGCGUAAAUCGUGCAGGGUAUAAGAUGUUUCUUAAUUUCAAUGUUAAUUGCAGACGACCCAUCAACAUACACUUGCUGCAAUUCUCCAGACCCAACUGAUAACCAUCUUCAGGAAUUUUUAUAGUAGCUAGUUCUGCCAGCCCUAAUCACAGCAGGUUGGGGUAAAUCUGAUAUAGGUAUUGCAGACGAAGUUAAAACACACGCAGAAGUCAUGUUCACAUUCAAGAAGGACCAAUUGCAGAUCCCACACGACAUGCAAAUAAUUUUACAUGCAAAUAAUUCAUGUACUCUCAUCUUCAUCGUACACCAUCAUCCCUUGAUUAUAAAAACCACCGAAUAAAAUUAAAUCUCAUUUAACCGACAAAAAAAGAAAAGAAAAUUAAUGUAGAUAUAAAUGUGUCGCAGGAUACAUACAACCACAUUGGUCCAUACAAAACCUUGGUGGCUUGGUCCAUCAUGAAUAGUGAGUAGUAGGGACGUCAAUAAUUUAAUUACCUGAAUCACUGAAUGAGCAGCACGUGCUAUGGGGGUCGAUCAAUUAUUUUCAUUUGUAUGUGUACAGAUCGUUAAGUAUAAGGGUACUUUAGUUAUUUGUUCAUGACUAUUAGAGAUAUACAUUGUUCAUGACUAUUAGAAAUAUAAAGAUGUAGUCCUAAAAACCUCUCAGCGUUUCCUUUACAGCUUUCCUUCAAUUUUGUCUUUAGUUUUCAAUAAUUUCAGAAAUAACUUAGGUAACCAGCCAUAUGGUCACUUAUGGGUGAUAAACACCAAUUAGAAAAUGACAAGCGUCAACAAUAAAAGCCAUGGUCAAUUUAGUUAUUUGCCUAGAAUCCCUACCUAUAAAAGCUAUGAGGAGGGAGAAUCGAAGAGAUGAAGGUAUUGAGUUUUCCGACGAGGGUUCGACGGAUUCCGGUGAAGCUUGAUGUCGACUCAGGUAUCAAAGUUGGUCUAUUUGAUGAGCUUUACAUGUUUCUAUAAUUGGAAUUGAGAUUGGUUGGGUGUUGGAGAGAUUGAGAUUUUGGGCAGUGUUGUGGACCGCUGUGAGUGACGUUGUUCACGGCGGCGGUGGGGUUGAAGAAAUUGGUUUCCGGCUUUGUUGGUAUACUGAAUUGUAUGAGAUAGUCAGUUUUGAUUUUGGGAUGAGAUUGAAGAAGUUGGAGUUGUGGGAUUUUGGUAGUGUUCAAUUAUUGUGCAGGGUGGUGUUUUAAUUAAAAAUGGAGGAGUUGGUAUUUUAUGGGUUUGGUUGAGCUUAGCAGUAGCAUUGGAUCAGAGUUUUGUUAAUAUGUUGCUUAAUUUCCAGAAACGGAGGAGUUGAAGGAGUUGAGGGAUUAAUGAUGAAUUGUAUCAUUUGGAAUGAAGGAUAGUACAAUUGUUCUUUUCAUUUUGGUAUUGAUAUUUGUAAUUCAGUUGAUCAAAGUGACUGAACUCCAGGAAAGGGAAGAGUAGGGUAUGUGUUCUGCUAAUGAUGGAGUAGUAUGUAAAUCUUUAUUAGUGCAGGUGCUAUUAAUAAGGAGAGUGGUGAGUUCAUUUUAUUGAUGAAAGCAUGAUUGCCGAAUUGGAGUUAAGGAUUGUGUGAAAUUGGGAAGGGAGUAUUCGGUGUUCACAAUGGUGGUGGUAGUGAUUAUACCUAAAUUUGGAUUUAGUAUAAUGUCAAGGGAAGUUGGUGAGUAAAGGUGGUGUGACGUGCAUUUGGUAAUUCGGAUGUGUUUAAGACCCGAAGGCUUGGAUGGAAGGAUACAUUAUGGGUGUAGAAUAUUUUGGGUGUCCAUAGUGAAUUUGUAGUUGGAUGGGUGUCCUUAUCAAUUUCAAGGACUUGAUCGUAUCGACUUGAAGAGAUUCGCUUACUUUCUCGGAAAGAAGAGUUGGUACGAGGUUCGAAUGUGAGAUGCGGGAUUCCAGGAGCAUGAGCAUAAGGAUUUCAGAACGCGUAUCGCUGAGUUACUAAUUUCGAUUAGCGGAGCUAAAGCUUGGAUUCCAGGUAGGGUUUCUCUCAGGGAACCUUUGUUUAAAUUGAUAAUUAGAUUAUAAUUGAAAUUGAUGCUUUGUGUGUCAUUGAGUGAUUAACUCUUGGUUGUUAUUGUUUUCGAUAAAAGUAUGGUAUUCGGUGAUUUAUAUAAUUAAUGUUAUCGCUUUCCAUAAAAGCAUGUGUUGGAUGAUAUAUUAUGAGUAUUGAUAUUUGUUGCAUUCAUAAUGCAUUGUGAGGAAUUGUGAGAUUAGUGAGAUUGGUGAUUAUGGAGAGAUGAGAAUAAGAUCUAGAGAAUAGAUAUAUUUUGUGUAGUUGAGUUUCCUCAUGGGGCAUCCAAGAUCUAUGAUUAGCCCACACGUGCACAUGUUUGGGGAAAGUAGGCCCUUUCGAUGACGGACAUCAAUAAAAAGAUCUUAUAGGGUUCCGGGUUUGGAAUGCCAAAAAUAUAACAAGAUGACUAACAAAAGAGGUACAGGUGGUGAGAUAUUACUGAUUUGUUAGGUCGUAUAUUGGAGACAUCUACACGAUAUGAGACGUGUAGGCUCAUAUGUUUUUGAUGUAUGGACUAAUAAGCCAGUAAUCGAGUGGAGGAAGUUCAUUUGCAUAUUGUUAUCAUUUAUAUUUAAAGUAUUGUUUGUUACUAGAUAACUUGAUUUUGCGACUUAGAUAAGAAUAAUCUUAAGAGGUUUGGUCCUACUGAGCGUAAGCUCACCCCUAUAUAAUUUUGUUCAGGUACCACGAGACACAUCUUUCGAGAAGACUAACUAUGAAGUUUAGCUGACGUGUUCAAGAGAGUAGAAGAGUUAUGAAAGAUUAGAAGUGAGAUAGAUCUGCAAGCCAUGCUUUGUCUUUGUAAUUAUUUUUGUUAUUGUAAACGUUUUAUUUUCUUUUAUUUCGAGAAAAGUAUUUGAAAUUGUUCUAUUUUCUUUUACUUUUCACGCUCACGCCUCGAGUUCGGCGUCAGGUGCUUGGAAACCACCGGCACCGGGUUUGAGGUGUGACAUCUUAGCCCAUUCCAAUGAUUCUUACCAUAAGGACGAUAGUACCCAUCAUUAAACCACACCUAACCAGAAGCUUCCACCGCCAUGUCCUUCAUAACAACCUCUCUCUCUCUCUCUCUNUCNUCAUGCUCUNCUGUCUNUCNCNUCUNUCUACUACUACUACUACUCUUCUACUUACGUACGUACGUACGUACGUUACCGUUACCGUUACCGUUACCGUUACCUUACGUUACGUUACGUUCGUACUACGUACGUUACUACUCUACUACGUUCUUACUACGUACGUACGUACGUUACGUUCUACUACGUACGUUACGUUACUUACUUACUACGUUACGUUACGUUACGUUACGUUACGUACCGUUACGUUACGUUACCGUUACCGUUACCGUUACCGUUACCUUACGUUCGUUACUUCGUUACGUUACCGUUUACCGUUACCGUACGUACGUAACGUUAACCGUUACCCGUUACCGUUACCGUUACCGUUACCGUACCGUUACCGUUACCGUACCGUUACCGUACCGUACCCGUUACCCGUUACCGUUACCCGUUACCCCCGUUACCGUUAAAACCCGUUACCCGUACCCGUUUUACCGACCGUACCGUUCCGACCGUACCGUACCGUACCGUUACCGGGUACCUACCGUAACCUCCUACCUACCUACCGUACCUACCUUACCNCCUACCUACUUACCUCUACUUCUAACCUCUCUCUCUCUCUCUCUCUCUCUCUCUCUCUCUCUCUCUCUCUCUCUCUCUCUCUCUCUCUCUCUCUCUCUCUCAAAUCCUUCGUUGGCGACCUCAGCCUCGCCUCCACCAUCUCCGGCGGCCUCAUCCGUCCUCGCCUCUCUCAAAAAAGCACAACGGAGAGUCCUCGCCUCCACCAUCUCUCUUUAUCUCUCUCUCUAACUCUCACUUACAGAUCUGUCGUCGGCGGUCUCAUCCGCGCCUCCACCAUCUCUGGCGACCUCAUCCUCGCCUCCGCUUAUUACCCCGGCCUCCUCCUCGCCUGUCACUGCAACACUACGAGUCCGAAGAGCAGCGUCAAAUCCAGAUUUGGUCGUUCUCCGACGUCGUCUGCACUUCGUCGCUUGGAAACGUCGAUGCGAGCCAAGCUUCAACAUGCACCACUACGGCCUUCGAUUAGAGGUGGUCGUCCUAGCUUGGCUGCACAUCGUCUUUGCCUCCGCCUUUGGUUUCGGACUCCUACGUCGACGCCAUCAAGAGCUGGUGUUGUGUAAUGGAGAUUGUUUUCUCAAGGGUAAUAAAGUUCUACUGGGGAUAAUAAUGUUCUACUAGGGGUGAUAAAUUUAUUACUGGGGUUAAUACAUUUAUAACUAGUCCUUUGUUCUGUUUUUUCUUAGGGUUAUUAUUCUUCUAUCGUCUUCGUUUAACUAAUUACUAGGGGUCAGUAAUUAAUUAUUGAGGUCAGUAACUCGAUUAUUAGGGACCAAUAACUAAUGACUAGGGUCAGUAAUUGAUUACUGGGGGUUAGUAAUUGAUUAUUAGAGGUCAGUAACUCGAUUUUUUGGGGUCAGUAACUCGAUUAUUAGGUACCAAUAACUAAUUACUAGGGGUCAGUAAUUGAUUACUAGGGGUCAGUAAUUGAUUACUGGAGAUCAAUAACUUAAUUAUUAGGGGUCAGUAACUAAUUAUUAAGGGUCUGUAAUUGAUUACUGGGGGUCAGUAAUUGAUUACUAGGGGUCAGUAAUUGAUUACUGGAGAUCAAUAACUUAAUUAUUAGGGGUCAGUAACUAAUUAUUAAGGGUCUGUAAUUGAUUACUAGGGGUCAGUAACUGAGUGAUCGGAGAAAAUCUGGCGAGAUUCCGGUGAUAGCCGGAGAAAAUCCGGUGACCGGAGUCUGGCGGCCGGUGACUGGAGACCGGUGAGAAACCGGUAAGUAACUCAUUUAUUAGGGGUCAGUAACUAAGUUAUUGGGGUCAAUACCCAAUUAUUGGGGGUCAGUAACCAAGUUAUUGGGGGUCAGUAACCGAGUCACCAGUGACCAGAAAAAUCCGGCGGUCGAUGACCGGAGUCCGGCGGCUGGUGACCAGAGUCCGGUGAGAUUUCGACCAAGUAUUCUCUCUUCCAUUUUCUCUCUCUAUGCAUGUUUAAAGGGUGAGGGCAAAAUAGUCUGAAAAUAAUAUAGUUUGUUAAGACUUUAGUAAAGAUUUGUGCAUUUGGGCAUAAAAAAGAUUACCUUAUAUUGAAAUGGGCUAAUGAAAAAGAUUGUCAUUAAAAUGAGGAAUGAUGGGUUUAAAUUAGUACUAAUUUUUUUGGCCAUGAACCCAAAAUACCUUUAGUAAAAAUAAAAAAAAGCUAAAGACAACGAAAAUAUAUAAAAGCUAAGCUGAGUUGAUCGAAUCAAAUCAGGGAACACAAUGUGUGUCCGAUUGCGAGUAGGGUAAGAGUAUCGUGAAUUCUUUUUUAUUUCGGUUUUUUAGUUUGAGAUUGUGGAAGAGACUUAAGAUGAUUGUCAUCUUUUAGAGUUGUUUCACGCUUGUCAAACCAAAUACACAAAAGACUGAUGAGAGCAUGAACAUUUGUAUAUGAUGACCGAGGAAGUAGAUAUUCUUAGCUGGUUGUGUCUCUGGAACAUGUGAGGCUGUACCAUGUCGUUAUGUACUGUACGUGAAAUACCUAGAUGAUACAUUAGGAUCAGCAUAAGAGGAAUCUCCAAUAUGUUGGAUCACCUCCACCACUUCCUUAAUUAGCAACGUAGACUUGAGAAACAUUAUUCUUCUUUGGAUGAUGUCGACGAGACUACGUUUUCGCCCCCUCCAUGUAUGAUGUGUCAAUGUCAAUGUCAAUGUCCUAUGACUCCUUGGCUAGAGCAGGACGAUACCGCUUACAAGAGUUAAUAAAAUGACCCACGUUGACGUUACGGCAGAAGUCUUGUUCACAUCAGAAGUUAAAAGACAAAAAAAAAAGUUACUGUAUCGGACGUAGGAUACAUACAACCACAUUGGUCCAUACAACCACCUUGGUCCAUCGUGAAUAGUGAGUAGUAGGGACGUUAAUACUCAAUAAUAUACCUGAAUCACGUACUGAAUGAGCAGUACUAUAUAUAGUCGAUCAAUUAUUUUCAUUUGAAUAGUGAUUCAUCACACACACAAUGAUAGAUAAGACUUGCAUGUUGUGCGUUUAUUACAAGUUAAACGAAUCCUUGUGUCAUGAUCAAUCAUCGAGGGGGAUAGGAUUUGCAAUCAAAGAGACCAAACGAUCCUUAGUCACCCCAAUUGAGUUCCCAAUGCCAUCCCCAUGUUCAAAGAUGCAGUGAGCAGCCCGAGCCAUAUUUAGUGAUAGGUUUACGAUGGACCUUGGUAUGGUUGUUUUGGCACUCUCUUGGUUUAUUUUCUUCCAUGAAUGGCAGAUCAAACCCUUUAUGUAAUCGCAUGCUUCUUCUUCCGAUGCGCCUUUCUCGUCCAUGUAACACUGAAUGGAUUUCGCAACAUCGCCUCUCUCCCUCUCAGCCUUUGAGCAAUCAAAAAAAGAAACAACAAUUAGUACAAAUUCAUGCUUUGUAAGAGAGUCUCACACACAUAUAUAUAUAUAUAUAUAUAUAUAUAUAUAUAUAUAGUCCGGAUCUAGAGAGGACCUCCUUAAACUCUUAAAGUAUGGAUGUUUUUAGUUCUAGUAUGUAUUUUUACAAUCAAAUCCACUCAUUCCCUAAUUACUUACCCACAUAUAAAUCCUACAAAAAAUUAGCCAAAAUAAAAACGUUUAACCAUUUGAUUAGCACAAUAUUCGUUUUAAUUUUAUCUAACGGCCUGCAAUUGUUUACAUCAAUUUGAAUGACCAAAUGAUUAUGGAAUUAGUUGAAAUUUUGUAAACAUGUUUCUUGCAUAUGAAUCUAGAGGAUCAACGGUUGAGAUCGUUAAAAGAAGUCAUCUACUAAUGUAAAAGAGUAGAAAUCAUCAAAUUCUUAAAGUAAAGAGGUCCUCUUUAUAUCCUCCCUCAUAUAUAUAUAUAUAUAUAUAUAUAUAUAUAUAUAUAUAUAUNUGNNNNNNNNNNNNNNNNNNNNAUAUGGAUUUCUGCCGUUUCUUCACCAUUUUUAGCGCCGGCGACGCCGUUUCUUCUCCCCGGCGUGAUCCUAGACCUCUCCCGACGAUGUUGGAAUGAAGAAGAAGGCCGGAGAGAUCGCGAUCGGAGGUCUGUGCAGCAAUCUCACUCAGAACUUCACUACCGAUCAUGGUGGACCUCCGAUCGCUUUCUUCUUCAUUCUAACAUCGUCGGGGGAGGUCUGAGAUCAAGCCGGGGAGAAGAAACGGUGUUGUCGACGUUGGAAUGGUGGAGAAACGGCGGAAAUCCGUACGGAAAACCUGUACGGACGUCCGCACCUGAUAAUCCUUCUAUAUAUAUAUAUAUUACAAUUGACAAAUUACUUUAGGUGAAAUAUAUAUGAUUCAAGUUUGUUAUAUGAUAUAUAUACCUUGGAAGUGCCCAAAUCGUCGGUGAGUCGUGUUAUGAAGGAUGCCCAAUAUAUCAGUUGAGAGCCAUGGUUAAAGGACUCAAGUGAAGCUUCUGUUAGUUGGGAUCCUUGCGUUAACAAAUAAGCAUGGAGCAUUGCUCCCGGACCACCCACUGAAGUCCAUGCAUUCUUCAAAUACUCUUCCAGAGUUGGCGUGUAUCCGCCGUAGAACCACCGUGCUUCCACCAUAUAAGACUUGCAAAGAUUUUCCCACUGCAUGCCGACAACCAUGCAGAAAAAUCAAUUUUGCUUACUAAUUGGUUUAUGGAAAAAUUAGAGAGGGUGUUAGAUAAUUACCUCGUUCUUAAUAUAAGGGAGGGUGUUUAAACCAGUGUUUUUGAAUAUGUUGUCAGACAAAUCAUUGCCAAACUCGAGCAUGGCAAUAUAGAUUGGCUUCAUGUACUCAGGAAGUUCCUCCUUUGCUUCCAUAUUCCAUCUGCGAUAGAAAGUUAAAAACGCCAGAGCUAGAUCAGUGUGAAGAAGAAGUUUUCAGGAAUCACCAAAUCGAUCAUCAGCUUUCAUUCUCAGACGUACUCCUGGUUAAUAAACAAUUCAACUUACUGAGUUACUGCAUCUGUAAAGCACUCGAGUUCAUCCAGGAAUCCGUAUACAUCAUACAAGUCAUCAAUAACUGUUAAUAUGCACACAAACUUGGUGAGGCCUAUUCUGCAUUGCGAGAAUUGGGGAUCAUGACUAAUCCCCAUUGCCCACAUGUAGUUCUCCAUUAGUCUAUCCCUUGAGAAACAUGCCUUUGAUUUCAAAUCCAACUCUCUCCACCACCUGCAAAGUAAACACUCCUAGAGUCUUAGUUAAUAAUUAAGCAAGUUAGUUACAUUUUCAAACUGUAAAUCUCGCUCCAUUACUGAAGCAAUAUAUCAACUGCUUGAUCAUAUGGGUUCGGAAAACGAAAACGUUUCCAUACUUGCCUUGAAAGCUCCUUUAUCUCCAUCUGAUGGACUGAUUGAACAAGAUUGUAGUCCAAUUUUGCCAACUCCAGCAGCGCCUGCAGGUUCUUAGAAUCUUCCCUUUGGUACAUAGUAAUGAAGUUCAGAGCUUCUAUUCUCGGCAUCCUCCAGUGUAAAGGGGUCUGCAGUGAGUGCGCUACUCGCUUGAGUAGAUAAUCGUCUUUCAGUGUUGCCAUGGAUUGUUUCAAGUUUUUAAAACUAAAUCUCUUGGCUUCCUCUAGAACAUCUUCUCCUGGCAUUCCAAGGUGUGAGGCCUCAUACAAACUCAAAAGUCCCUCCACGUCAUUGCUUAAGUUAUCUUUGAAGCUUCCUUCGCAAUUUCUAAACUGGUUAAACAAAUCUGUGGGAGAAGUAACAUGUCAACAUCUGUAAACAACAUGUCACUUGAAUUGAGAGUAUAUGCUAAAUAUAUAUGGUUUUAUAUGCAUGUAAGUAUAGUACAUUACCUGAGCUAAUUGAAAUGCCAUAUUGUCUUAGAAUUCGAAAUUGCAAAGCAACUGUUUGCAGAUCUGUUGUGGUACUAGCAGUACUGGAAGAAACAAGAGUAACUAUAGCCGCUUUGAUCUCCUUUUCGAAGUGAUAUGAUACUCCUAACCGCUGGAUCGAGUCUAUGAGCUUUAAGGUCAAGCAAGCAUCGCCUUUAGCUUUGGUACUCAAUACAUGCAAAUCUUCGGAAACAUUCUGCUUCAGACCCUCCAAUUUUGAGGCAUAUGAUUCAUGCUGCAACAAGAAUAACGAAAAUAUUUAUGAAUUAAUAAGUAGAUCGAUAUGUCAGAUGCUAUAAUCUAGUGCAAGCAUGAGUGCUGCGAUUUCGUAACGUUACAAUAAAAGAAUUCAGUUAGCCACCGAAGUUUGCCAUACAGUGUAGCGAGUGGAGAAGGAAUCGAUGAGCUUGGGACCCCAGAUGGUAGGAUGGUAUUGAGCUAGUCGGCGUUGACGAGCUACCGGAGGAUCAAUAACCUUGGAUGACGAGUUUGAAAGAAUGAAGGAGGAUUGCUUUGUUGCUGUUGUAUGAUGUGCAUGCUCCAGUACUGGUGCUGGCAUUGCCAUUCUUAAAUAACUAGUAUUAGUUAGUUUUGUGAACAAGAUUGAGGGAGAGGAGGAGGAGAAGAACAGAAGACUCAUUAUAUCUUCAGAUUUAGAAUAGAUUGAAAUCAGUGGAGAAGAACACCUGCUUUUAUACAAAGGUUCCUUAUACAAAAUGCUUCUUGUUUUUCACGUGAAAUAUAUUUCAAACUGGGAACUUUCUCGACGUGAUUUAUUACUAGGAGAAAUUACUGGUCACUCCAUUAUCUUUUAUGCUCUCGACAGUUUUCUCUAUAUCUUUUAAUUUCAAUCGAUUACUCCUUGAACUUUCUAAUGUCACACAAGGGAAAUUAUUAUUUGUAUCCGGAACACUAUCUGUUUUAUGUUCCCCUUUAAUCUCAUUGGUCCACGUGUUUUAUCCUUAUUUCUUAUUGGUGUAUUUAAUUACUUUUCCUUUUUUUUCCUUCCCGUGCUGGUCCCCACAUGAAUCUGAGUUAUAUGAUUAGCCGGGUACAACACUUGGCAGUGUCACGUGGUGUUCCGGGUACAGAGAAUAAUUACUCGUCACACAAUUAGGUCCAUUCGUUAAGUGACAAUCUAAAUCAGUGGUUAAGUUGCUGACUGGUCAUAUUUUUCAAUGCCAACUCAGCUGGAUGAAAGGAGAAAUUCCUUUAAGACCCCUAAUUCAAUUUCCCUGUUUUGAACCAAAAAUCCCUCCAAAAUACCACUUCCCUCCACACUGAAACACAGAAGUACACUGAAACACAAAAUGGGAAUCCAACAUUGACCUACAUUCAUAAUAUUGAAAAGUACAUUGUAUCUUCAACAUUAGCAAGCCAAUAACAAACCAACUAAUUUACCAAAAAUCAACAUUACAUCAUCAAAUGUCAAAUUGUUCAAGUACUAAUAUGUUAGCUCUAAUCAUCUUAUCAGAAGAUUAGAGCUAGCAACCAAGUCACAAAACACAAGGUUGCCCAGAAAUAUGAUGCAUAAAUGUUGGGGCUAGCUAAUAUGAAAUCUAUAAAAUUUCACAAACAUAACUACUUUCUAGCUCCUUUACAUGAGUUCUGUCUAAUCCUUUGAGAGGUUCUUGAUGCUGCAACCUUGUCGGUCGAUGCAUUGGGACCUUGUACAGACCUUGAAAUUGUAAGUGCAGAUCCAGCUCCCUUGAACUUUGCUGGGUAGAUGCAGCUUCAACAGGCCUUGUUCUCUUUGGAGUAGCCUUGCUAGCUUCCAACUUUGAAGCUUUCAACUCAACCUUCCUUAACUGGACACACAACAAUGCAACGAUAUAUAUAUGAUUUAAGCAUUUAUUACACUACAUACAUUCAACAUAUACUCAAUCCUUUAGGCAAUAUAUACACAACAUAUGCAAUUUGGCAAGAUGUAUUCUCAUACAUAGUACACACAACAUAAUAACUUUGACCAAGUUAGUUCUUCAGGAAAUUUUAAAGCUUGAUUCAAAAGAUGAAAAACAAUAGUUACCCUCAUAUACUCAUUCCUUUGUUUAAUUUUCUGUGACUUAGUCUUCUCUACAAUCUCCCUUAUCUUUGGACAAAUAUUGCCAUGGUAAGCUUCCAUUUUUCGCUUUCUGUUUGUGAUUCUCUUCAUCAACUUCACCCUUAACUCUUCAAACAUGGUGACUGGUGACUUACCUCUUGCCUCUAAUAUUCAGCCAUUAAAGCUCUCACAUAUGUUGUUAAUCAUGAUAUCACAAUCCAUAACUGUGUUGAAAUAUGCUCUGCACCAAUGUUUAGCAGGCCUUUCCUUUGCUGCAAACACAAACCAAUUACACUAAUUAAAAACCUGGUAAUUUAGAUCAACAUAUACCAUAUGAACAAGAUAAAGGAAAUAUGCAAGUACCUGUAAGCCACUUAUAAGCAUCAAGUUCAAGUUCCUUCAUAGUUUUCAUCUCCUUCUCAAAAUAAGGCAGAGUAGUUGACUUUGCACAAGCCCACAUCUGAUCUUUCAACACCAUUCCAGGAAAUAGCUUUGUAAAAUUGGUCCAUAAGUGCCUAACACAAAAUUUGAUUUCAGCUCUGCUGACAAUCUGUCCAAGUGCAGGUAUCAGACCCUUUUGUUUGUCACUGAUAAAUAUCCAUCAUCUUCCUUCAUGCUCAAUGUUGAGAUCCUUUGCCAAUAACUUCAAAAACCAAAUCUAUGAAUCCUUGCUCUCAGCCUCAACCAUUGCCUAUGCUACCACAUAUGAACCAUUAUCAGCAUCCAUAUACCAACAGCUAUCAAAAGUUGGUCCCCAAAACAGCUCUUAAGAUGAGUACCAUCCAAACCAAUUACACUUCUGCAACCAACCUUGAAACCAUUCUUGAGAGCUCCCAAGAAAAUAUAUGUGUUUGAAAACUGGAAAGCUGCUACCAUUAGGGAAAGAACACUUGAUGUCAAUUGUAGUGGCAAGAUCAACUCUUUGAAGCUCUCUUCCAUAAUCUUGAAUUCUUGCAUAUUGCUCCCUUAUUGUUCCUUCCACUUCUUCAAGUGCAGCCACCUUAGCUCUAUAAGCUGUCCACUUAUGAACCUUUGCUCUAAUUUCUUUUGUCAUUGCCCUAGCUAGACUGUCUGCAUCACCACAAAAUUCAAAUAGCAAUUUGAUAAGCAUAUUAAUGAAGUAAAAAUAUGGUGUUAAAUAGCAAAACUAUUUUUGAAAACACAGUAACACUUACUUGGUUUCCAGCUCUCAUUGAGGGCAAUCAUAUCCUUAAACUUUUUGCUUAAGUACCUCUUGCCAACCAUGCAAUUGUUGAACUUCCUAAUGCAUCUGUGUUCUGGAUUAUACCUUUUAACAAUCAAUGUAUCCUCAUCAGGUAUUUUGGUGGCAUAUAAUUCAAAUAGGCAGUUGUCCUCCUUACAAAUCGCUUGUAUUCUUCGUGUCUCAUUCCUAGCGAACGAAUAUUCAUGUCCAUGUUGAAUAGCAUGCUGCAACAAAGCUUCCCUGAGUAUUUUUGCAUUGCCGAACAUCUGAUCUUCCAUGAAAAUUGGAUUCUUCAUGUGAAUUUUGGGGUUGAAUUCAAUCCCCACGUCAACCUUCUCCCCAUCAGAAUUGAACAUAUAUGUAAGUACCUCCUCAUCAUCAUACACAGUACUAAAAUGUGCAUCAUCAUCAACAAACUCUUCAUCAUGCACAAAACCUUUAGCUUCCUUUUGUUUUGCAUUCUCUUUAGCAUGUUCACCACCACCACCACCACCAUCAUCAUCAUCAUCAUCUCGCCCAUACUGAAAAUACUCAUCAUCUUUACUUGCUGGAUCAUACCUCAUGUCCUCAUCCUCCUCAUCACUUCUUUCAUUCUCACUUUCUAAUUCACUCCCACUCCCACCAUAUGAUUGAAGUUGAUCCAUAAAAUCAAUUUGUGCAUCUAGAAGAUCAUCCCCUUCAUUUUCUUGCACACUUGAACAUCCAAUUCCUCCACUAGAAGUAUGAUUUCGGCUUCUAUUAAAGUCCAUAAACUUCUUUUUUUUGCCAUUUUCUUGCUCAACAACCUUCUGUUUUCCCUUCUCUUUUGGACCAACAAACUCACCAAUAUUGCUUGGUUGAGUAGGCACAGUCUGUUCAACAUCUUUAAUCACAAUUCCUUUGCUUCUACCAAGACUAGGUUCUUCAGGAAAUACAGCACAACUAGCAGCUUGGCUAAACAACAUGUCUUGUAAGAAGGCCUCAUCAUCAUCUUCUUUUCUAAAGUCAGGGUGCAGCUCCAACUGGUCACAAUACACUAUUAACAACCUCCAAUAAGGUACAGAUGAACACAUAUGCACAACAUCUUCAUCUAUUUGCAGCUUCACUAACUCACCAUCUUCAACACCAACCCUAUAUCAAUACUCAAUCAGCUGAGUUUGAUAGAAAAGACUCAGCUGUUUCACCAUGUUCCUUACCUCCACAAGCGACAUCAUAUCUUUGUCACAGUUGUCGUAGAAAUCAUACUUCCCUCCCACAUAUGAACCAUCUUGAAAGCACCCUCCAUGAUACACAUUGACUGUGAAAUACUCUGGGCAAGCUGUAAUAAGCAAACAAAAACCAUUAAGUUACAAACAACUAAAAUAACAGCCCCAACAAAUACUUUGCGACAUAAAAAGCAAAAAGCCAAACACAAAACAAAGACCAUGUGAGACAUGAAAUAGUCUUUCUUUACUACAUACUAGGACCACAACCAAUCACUACACAAAAGGUACUAUAUUAAAAGCCAAACCAAAUUCUUCAACAACAUUUCAAAGAUAUUAAAAGCCAAAACCAGGUCUCCAACAACAAUUUUAACGAUAUCUAACACACAAAUACCCAGUCUUUAAGCCAUAAACCAAAACCAUAUACAAAUAGCGGCUGAGUUUUUCCUAUAUAUGAGUUGAGACAACUGUAAGUUGACUCUUUUCUAUUGUUUACAUCAACCCCGAAACCAGAUUCAAGAAUCCAUAUUUUCCCCCAAAAUCAAAAACCCUAUAAAUGUGCGAUUUUAAAGCAAUCCAUGUCGAAGACCAUAUUCCUAAAGUCUAGAACUUACUAUAAUUAGGUAUGCCAUCGUUCAACCCUUCUUCGCCUCUGGGAACCCACAAAUCUGGGUUCAUCACCAUGCCGAUGCGUACUCAGUAGAUGAAAGUUUUUUUUUUUCGUAUGGGGAUGGGUUUUCAGUAUUGGUCGAUGGGGAUGGUUUAUUGGUAUUGAUCGAUGGAGAGCACAGUGAGCCCCCAAGAUUUCAAAUUUUGGGGUUUCUGUGUUUUGGAGCUGGUUUUGGGUUAAGACACCCCCGAAAUAGGCUAGGGGCAUUUAUACCAUUUUACAAUCUUGUGUGGAUCCACGUGGCUAAUCAGUUUGCAAACUCAUCGCGUGAACUUACCAAAUCAGCAACUUAACCACUGAUUUAGACGGCCACUUAACGGAUGGACUUAAUUGUGUGACAUUGGAAAGUUCGAGGAGUAAUCGAUUGAAAUUAAAAGAUAAUGGAGUAAACUGUUGAGGGCAUAAAAGAUAAUGGAGUGACCAGUAAUUUCUCCUUAUUACUAUUUUAAGUUAAGCGGCGGGCAAGACCUAGGUCAAGGGCCACAUAUAUUUUGGGGCUUCAAUUUUAGUAUAUAUUUUUUCUUUUAAGUUGCUUUGCCAAACAAAUAAAUGCAAUUUAAUAGAAAAGAAAUAGGGGAAGCGUUGGACUACGCCAUAUUACUGUACGCCAUUGUGGUCCCGAGACGCGUGGCGUUUUUUCAUUGGCAGGGAGGAUAUUUGAGAGAUAGCGCUGAAAUUUCUCAGAUGACGGCCAUAUCCCUCAUUGUCGACGACGUUUGGGUAAAAGCUAGGGUUCAUUCUGUAACACCGACGACAGGGUGAAAAUGGGGUUAAUACGACGCUGCAUGGAGAUCGGCCACGUCUCCGCCACGGCAAGCAAAAUUGGAGUCGUGCACAAGUUCGGAAUCGAAAUAGGCAGAGCUGGUUAGUUUGAAACUGAUUAACUGAAGAAGGGUUGAAGCUGGUGUAUAGCGCAUUGAAAUAGGCAUUUUGGCUCACGAGUUUGAAACCGAUGAAUUGAUCAAUGGGUUGAAGCUGUAAACUGCAUUCAACCAGAUAGCAUUCCCUCCGGAGGUAUUACUUUUAAUCCAUGAGUUGCAUCAUUGUGUACCAGAUUUCUGUUGAUGUUUUUGAGAUUUGAUUAACAGUCAUCUUCAAAUUCAUGAGUCAGGAACAGAUGUUUGCUAGGCCUGUUUCUAUUUCAUAUCUUAUGUAUGUGUGUAGUUUAGUUUGUCAUCGGUGCACCUAUUAGUUAUGUGAGUGUUUAGUUGAGAGAGAAUCGAACCCAAGAGUAUUUGAUAUAAGCUAUUAUGUUCACUCCUUGAUCUACACUCGUAGAUGUAAAUCCACUAACAUUAUUGAAAUAACAAGCUGCCUAUCUAGAUGUUGAUCCCACAAAGUUUGAUGAGAUAACAAGAUCUUAGUUCAUCCAUUUCCAUUGGUAGCCACAUUGCAAUACUUCUAGUUUUAUUCAUGGGCAACAGUCAUAAAAGAUUUAGCUGGUGAGAACUCUGUACUGUUUAGGCGUUGGACCGUAGCUUGUAUGCUUGAUUAUCAUUUUCACCCAUGAUCAUAGCAACUAGAACCUUGCACAUCUUUAAUUAGAGAAAAACUGAUGCAUUUGUCUUGUUCUAGUAUCAAUUGAAUUAACAGAUAAACAAUAUCACUGACAUAUAUCCAAUUAUCAUCUAAUAUGAUCAGGAAAUCUGGUUGCUUUCUCUGGUCGCAGCACUGUAUGUAUGUGCAUUUGAUAAUUUCACUUUGAAAAGAAAUCAUUUACAUCUGUGUUGUACUUACAACAAUGUUUAAUGGUAGGAAAGGACAACAAUGUUUAAUGGUAGGAAAGGAUUCGGCUCCUCUAAAGUGAGGAGUGUGUGAAGUUAGUCUAAGUUCAUAAAAUCUAGGCUUUCUAUCUAAUCCAAAGGUCUUAAGAAUUGACACAUCACUAUUACUUAAAUUUUUGAUUUUUAGUCUAACCCUAGUUAACUUCUUGUUAACUAUAUUGUUAACUCCAUUGCAAAUGUAGCUUGGUCUUAAGCUAGGGAUGCCUUCGCCGUAUCAAGGUUCCCAACCAAACUCACACCCCCUUUAGUGUUGAAUCCCUUAUCUCUGCCGCAUACUUCCCCCAUGGCUGCCACCGGACUCCUCUAUAUGCUAUCUCGUCCUUGAUGCUCUCUCCCUCUUCCAUGGCCGCGUUGGAGUUCGCCUCUCAUCAUCUUUCAUAUGACGACGGGUACUGGUGGUGUCGGAGGAAUCCCCGGUGCCGGUCUGAGCGCGCAAGAACUCCAUAAAUAACCAUUUCUUCAUAGUCAUUUUGGUUGAACGGUAGCUAGGCAGGAGAGAUCAGAAUCCAGUGAGUUGAUCGAAGAACAUGACUCAAAGGAGAAUUCCGAAUAAUGGUUUUGAAGGAAUGAAGAGUCCAUUUAAAGGAGGGAUGAACUCAGCAAGCGAGCCAUGUUUAAACAAAUAUGAGGUUAAAGAAAUGAACAUAAUGGUGAAAGGGAUAUAUAUAUAUAUAUAUAUAUAUAUAUAGAAAGGAAGUUUGAAUUAGAUGAACAUGUAAUAUUGAUGCAAAACUCGUUAAUAGGGCUAAGAAUGAACUCUAUCGUUGACUGCAUUUAUAUGGAGUUAAAGAUAUAGUUAACAAGAAGUUAACUAGAGUUGGACUAAAAAUCAAAAAUUUAAGUUAUAGUGAUGUGUCAAUUCUUAAGACUCUUAAAUUAGAUAGAAAGUCUAGAUUUUAUGAACUUAGACUAACUUCAUGGACUUCUCACUUUAAAAGAGCCGGAUCCUUUAGGAAAUGCUGUUAAGAACUUAAAAGAGUAUGUUCCAUCAAGUCACUUGGCCUUUGCUAAGAAUCAAAUAAAUAGGUGUCUAAACCGAACCCUUCAAUGGACAGUCAUGGACAUGGUAGUCUUGUUGAUCUUUUGGUCUGUAUAUAUUUCCAUGGUCAGUUAAUCAUCCAGUUGGUUACUGCCUCCUCAUUUUAGAGUGACCAGACUGUCUCAAAAGAAAUAAUUGUUCCAAUAUAUAAAAUAUAUGCUCUGGUGAAUUGCAGCUUGAACUUCUUUAUAUCGUCCUGUUGUUGAGUUUUCAUUUCGAGGAACAUGUGUGCUAGUAGAGUGUUAUUUCUAAUGAAUAAAAUCAUUUUCCUGAUUGUUUUCAGCAACGUAGAGUGUCUGUGCCAAGGAUGGAAGAUAGUGGAGACUCCUUUGGGCUACAGCCCAGAGACUUUUUUUGUUCUUUACAAUAGUUUAAGGUAGGGUUUCAUAAAAUAAGCAUGUAUAUGAGCACUAGCCCAUAUAAAAAGUUGAAGAAGUCUCACAGCCUAAACAAUAACAUUAAAUUACAAGAUUCAUGUUUGGAAUAUAAUAAAAAAAUCUACCCAAAUCUACUCCUUUAACUCCUACAGGGCACAUCCACAUAUCUUUUUAGUACAAAGAUAUAAUUAUUCGCCUUCAUCAACUCUAAAUCUAACAUGUUCACCAACAAAAAAAAAAAUAGUCUACCCUGUUCGAAAAAAAUCUCCAAGUCUUCAUCGUUACUAAAAAGUUUGAAUUUUCAUAUGUGUUGUAAAUAGUUAUUACUUAGUGGGCAUUCUUGUAAUUAGCCGACUAGGGUUGUUAUUGUAAUUUACAUCAUGGCCUCAUCUCUAUAUAAGAGAUGGUUCCCUACUCAAUAAUAAAUACAUAUUCUCUCAUUCUCUUGGUUGUUUCUCUCAUUUCUCAAUCUAUUCCUUUUGUUUUACAACACGUUUUCAGCACGAAUAGUUCUAACAUUAUCUUGUUUUCUAUUGCAUGUGAAGCUCUAAAAGCAAAGGAUGAUCUUUCAAUUUGAUUCAUCGAAUUCGCUCUACAUUGACAUGGAAAGCUUUGAAAUCCAUGAUCAACCAUAUGAGGAUCAUUAUCUAACCAAGUUCUUGGAUUGGCUGAGUAGCUCCACAAACGGCAUUCUCAGCUCUACACAUAAAAGAUGGAGAUUAUCCGUUCUGCAAUGAGUAACGUUUUAUUAUCUUAAUUCCAAUUCAUAUUUGCUAGCCUUGAUUAUAUGAUGAACAAAUCACCAUGAAGCAUGAACCCAUUGUCUUUGGUUGCAUUUUGAAAUCUAUAUACGAUGCAUGAAGACCUAAAUUUAUAUUUUUAAUUUAUUCGGAUGAUAAAUACGUAUGUGGUAUAUAAAUUUGUUCAUGUUUUGUGAUUGAAAUAGAAGACAUAAAAAUCUUUAGAGAGGCCAGUAGCCACCGAAAUAAGCCCAAUUGCAUGCCUAGUAGUGCAUACCAAAAGGCGCAUGGAUGAACGAACUUCAGAUCCACUAUCAUUCUCUGACAUUCGAACACAAGAGCGUGAAUGCAUUCUGGAAGUAAUGCAUGUAACCGGUAAUGUAGGACCAUUAAUUUUGUCAUUUAUAUCAACGGUUACAUAUAUGAAAUAUUUAUGCCUGAAGCAUUUAGUGAUACAAAUUAACAUUGCUCAUAAUGAGGUUUGAAUAAAAUCCAUUUAGAAAUGUAACGUCAUUUGUUUAAUGACGCGUAGCACUGAUUAUGUUACUUAAUUGUGAUUUAAUAGAUACGUUUUGUCAGUUACAGAUUUGAAUUGUGUCAAAUUCAAUGUCAUUUAAAGGCAUAUAAUGCCGGAAGCAUUUAAGGGCAUGUAAUGCCAGAAGCAUUUACCAAGUUAUAACCCAUAUAUUAUGGCACAAGCAUUAUGGGUCAAAUUAUUGUGCAAAUUACGAUAAAGACGUUAUGAGUUUAAUCUUCGGUUAUACCAAUUUAAAUUAUGUCAUUAUAAUCCAUUAUGCUAGAAGCAUGAAUUUUAUUAUAAUCCAUUAUGCCAGAAGCAUUUAUCCAAUUUAAUACCUAUGUGUAAUGCUAGAAGCAUUAAUGAGAUUUGUACUCAUUGUCAUUGGUAUAUACUUAACCACUGCAUAAAUGAUAUUUAUUUAGUAAUUUAUGCCAUAUAUUAAAUAUCGGUUAAUUACCAAAUUCAAAUUGCGUCAAUUUUAUUUAAACAAUUCUCAAUUAUGUUAUCAUUUAUAUGAAUUGUUAUGGGGAUGUAAUGACGCAUUUUGCCGGAAGCAAUUAAUGAUGCAAAUGAAUUUAUUUUGCACGUAACCGCUACGGUGUUUACAUUUAUUGGUUCAGUAAUUACCAAUGUUAAUGCAUAUACUUUAUGUCAAUUAAAUUGUUUCCAUUAUGUUUUGUUUAUUUCAAUUUAAUUGAAAAUAAUUACUUUCACUUUAAGUUGUAAGUAAUGAAUUAAUAGCAUAUGUUGAUUUGUCUUAUUAAUGAUGAAUAUUAAAUAAGGCUGAGUCAGAAGCUCACCUCAAGCCUAUGUGACAACAGUAAGUCCGAGCCAGGAGCUCAACCUAAGCUGCAAGGCUAGCACAAAAGCUCACCACAUGUCGCCUUGAGUCCAUGACAAUAAUUAUAACUCUUCUCAAACUAGGCUCACCCAGUUGGAUGCGAUGUCUAGGCAAGUUCUUUUGAGGAUGUGUACUUAAGUGAGCCUUGCUCCACCACCUCAUCAUAUCUUACCUGGUCGUAUACAAUUAGAGUUACCGAAAGGGUUGACUAAUAACAUUGCAUUUCUUGGCAGACCAUUCUGAGCCCAGUAGGCCACUCUCCCUCUACGGGGCCUAAGAGCCCGGCCAACAUACCUCUCAGAUUGUGCCAUGUAGACUUGUAAAGUAUGUUGAGGUUUAUCUCUUUCACUUUAAUUAAAGUCAAUUCCUUUGGUCCAGCAGAAUCAAACAAAAGAAAAAUAAUCUAAUGACACUGUUUUUCGUACCUAGUCAUUAUGCAUGUCUAUAAGGCACUCCAAAUAUUUUCUCAUAAUAGCUGUUGUUAAUACAUUCACCAUAUGUAAUGUGUAGUUAAUUGCCAGAAGCAUUUACACAUAAUUACAUGACAUAUUCACUAUGCUAAAUUAGUAGCGUGAAAUUAAUAUUAUCAAUUGUUACAUGAUUAUAAUUUGAAAAUACAUGUACCUAAUGAACCGGUAGUUCAGAAGUGAACCUGUAGUUCAUGUAUAAAUCAAACUUGUAGUUUCGAUAAUAACCCCCUUAAGAAACUUAAAGUUUCAUUCCAAAAUUCAUCAGACAUGAUAAAAUCGGUAGCUUUUAUCAUGUUAAUUGGUAGUCUCUAGAAGAAACUAUUUGAAGUAGACAUCUUCCUUGCCUGAAGCAAAACAAAAUUAGAGAAUAUUGAAAUGAAAAGGCUUGAUGCCCUAGAAUCUCAAUCAAAAUUGAUAUGUGUUAUCAAUAUUAAGGAACUGAGCAUUCUCGUCUGACUGACGAGGCAAAAUACCUCUACGUUUUAGAAGAACGUUAUCAAAAGGUAAGUUCAUUGAAACCAAUGCUUAAAACAUUGAAACCACUAGAAAAAUGGUGUAAUAUCUUUGCAUAACCUUUGAAUGUGCGGCCAGAAGCGUACAUUGAAUACAUUCAAAUUUAUUAGCUAGAAGCUAAAUGAUUCGAGCAAAUAGUAGCUAUAGUAUUGGUGUUUGAUGCACUCGGGAAAAACAUAUGAUGCACCGUAUCCUCAACUCAAUUAUCACACGGGCAUCCCCUUUAGAAUAAGGGUCUUGUCUUUGAUGACACAUUAUGUUAAACUGCUCGUUAAGAAUAUUGAAUACUAGACCAUCAUAUGCAAAAACUAGAAUAUACACUAUCUAUUUAUGCACAGAAUGCAAGGAAAAAUACGUGGACCUAUCCAACCAUCAUGCGGACCAGUUAAAUAUUAAUAGUUUUGGUUGAUGCAUCGACAAAAGUGAUUAGAUGUCACAUCACUGUCCACAAGAAAAUGCUGCGUUUGCUAAACUCUCAUCCAUGAAAUUUAGGGUACGCCACUCGGAUUAUCUUAUAAAGUUUAUAAGACAUGAUAAUGCCGGAGAGUUUACAUCGAUGGCUUACGAUGAUUAUUACAUAUCCCUUGGGAUAUGUUGAACAUAUAGUUUCCUAUGUUCACACCCAAGAUGGUCUCGCAGGUAGAACCUUGGUAAUGCGCACCAAGCUUCUAUUGUUUGCGUCGGGCUAUGCAAUCUUGCAUGCAGCCAUGUCGGUCCGGUUGAGGCCCACUGCUACCCAUCUUAUUUCGUGUUACAGUUGGUGACUGGGUGUGAAUCUGAUGUUUUUGCACUUACACACAUUGGGUUUGUAGUCUCCGUGCCAAUUGUGCCGCCACAACGUACACAAUUGGGUCCUCAACAAAUGAUGGGCAUAUAUGUCGAUUAUGAACCCUAUCCAUUUAUGUGCUCCUUAGAGCCCUUGACAGGAGAUCUCUAUACCACUAGAUUUGCGGUCGUCACUUUGAUGAGAUAGUCUUCCCGCUGUUAGGGGGAGAUAACAACGUCACCUUUCCUGAUGAACGACGUGUAGAAUGUCUCAUCUUGAUCCCCAAACCGCACAUGUUAUAUUGAAGUGCGAAGAAUUCUACUUCUAGUUGAAGUGCAAAGAAUUGUAGAUCUAUGUAGUGUAGCCCAGAAUAUGCCAGACACUUCAUUAGAUCUAGUUAAAGUGACGAGAUCAUAUAUACCUGCUGCAAACCUGCAAGGAUAAAUGUCCCGUAGGACGUAUCGUCCUAGUUGGACGAAGUACGGCCAUGGCGGCUAACCAGUCAUAGUCCCUACCCUGAAGCGAGGUAGACCAUUAGGUUCGAAUGAUUCUUAUCCCUAGAAGAGGAUAAACUUGGCACAAAUGAAUCUUCUUGCCAUCGUAAUCUCAAACCAAUUCAACUCACGAGAUUAAUCCAGAUUAUGGGUUCGUCCUAGAAGAGACGAAGUUGGGGGACGCUCCAACAUUUAAACCCACUCCCGAGAAUAGAAAAUCUCGGUAAAUUUAGUGAGAUAUUGAAUCGGAAUGAGAGUUCAUCGAUGAUGUGUUUGUAUUUGCGGUGGCCACCGAAAUUAUAAUAAGCGAUGAUGUCGAACCUUGAUUCGUUGAUAGAUCUCAACGAAGAGACGAAUGGCUAAAAAGGAAAGAAACAAUCCAGGUCAUAUUAGAUUCCUUAACUUAGAGAAAGGUGUUAUGGGCCUAUUGUUCUCAUACCUCCCCAUGAUUAAACAUGCAUAUAGAGUUUAAUGGGUACUUGUAAGGAAGAGUAAUGAGAAAAAUGAGAUUGUGAUAUACAAAACUCUUCUAAUGGCGCAAGGAUUUUCUCAACGCCCUGUGAUUGAUUAUGAGGAGAAGUAUUUUCUCAUAAUGGAAGUCAUAACGUUCCACUAUCUUAUCAGUUUGGUAGUUUCCAAAUAACUGAAUAAGCAGCCUAUGAAUGUGGUAACAACUUAUCUCUAUUGGGAUCUGAAUAUAGAGAUAUACAUGAAGUUUCCUGAAGGACUUCUGUUACCCAAUGUAAAUAGUUCUAGACCACAUAACAUGCUCUCCAUUUGCUAGAGUAGUUCACUUUAGGGGUUCAAACAAUCCAGGCGGAGUUGGUAUAACCGUUUAAGUGAAUAUUUGCUUGGGGUGGGAUAUAUGAACAAAUGGACUAUGCCUAUACGUGUUUUAAGGAAACAAAUUCCUGGUUUGUAAUUUGUGGUAAUUUAUGUCAAUGACAUGAAUUUGACUGAUACUCUUGAAGAGAUUAAGGAAACUGCAAAACACCUGAAAUCAGAGUUUGAGAUGAAUGACUUUAGGAGACCAAAUAUUAUUUUGUCGACCUGAAGUCGUGCAAAGUGCAGAUGGAAUUUUGGUCCAUCAAUCAAAUUAAAUCUAGAAGAUAUUAAGAUACUUUGAUGAGGAUAAAACAAAGUAUUUAAACACACCUAUAGUCGUCCGAGGUCUAAACAAAGUAUUAUCGUGCAGAUAAUAACGAAGAGAUAUUGAGGCCAGAAGACUCAUAUCUAAGUACAAUAGGCGCAUUAUUGUACUUGAUUAAAUGACCUUGACCGGACAUCUCAUGUGAUGUGAAUUUGUUAGCUAGAUAUAGCUCUGCGCCAACACACCGCCUCCGUAAAUGGCAUAAAAGACAAUUUUCCGUUACUUUAAAUGUAUGACGGAAAAGGGCUCGUUCUAUCCUUAGGCAUCAUGAAAUAGAUCAACCGCCUAUGAUCCUUAUAAUGAUGCUUGCCUUGUUAAAUAUGCUGACACGGGUUAUGUAAACCCACACAAGGCUUAUUCCCAACUGGUUAUGUCUUUACUAUAGGGAAUACAAUAAUCUUAGAGAUAUAUGAAACAAAAACCUCUUUACAUCAUACUGACUAUUAAGUUAUUCAAGAAGCAUGAUCAAUGUAGUAGUUUUACCUAGUGUGUAGCUUUCAGGGGGAGUAUCCUGAAGCAUACUCUUGACCAUUGUGUACUCUUUUUGUCCUUCGUCCAGGGUUAUUUUGUCCCACUGGGUUUUGUUACCUGACAAGGUUUUAAUGAGGCACACAUGUAAUUGGUUACCUUGCUCAUGCUGCAUCUUAAAGAUGCUUUUAUUUGAAAUAUAUGCAUUUGCUCAUCUUUUCCCUUCGACCACGGGUUUGUCCCACUGGGCUUACCGGGCAAGGUUUUGGUGUAACAACUAAUAUGCAUCUAUCUCCUACAGACUCACAUCUUAUGAUCCAGACUGAACCGCUUCACCGAAAUCAAGGGUUCUGACUAUCACUGCUACUUGUGCGUUGUACUCUUUUCUCCUUCGACCAGGAUUGUUUUUGUCCCAUAGGGUUUUUAUUACCUGGCAAGGUUUUGACGAGGCAACACCGAAGCACAUAUUAGAGGAAGCUAAUGACAGAGAAUACCCAAGGGAGAGUGUUGUAAAUAGUUAUUACUUAGUGGGCAUUCUUGUAAUUAGCCGACUAGGGUUGUUAUUGUAAUUUACAUCAUGUCCUCAUCUCUAUAUAAGAGAUAGUUCCCUACUCAAUAAUAAAUACAUAUUCUCUCAUUCUCUUGAUUGUUUCUCUCCUUUCUCAAUCUAUUCCUUUUGUUUUACAACAAUAUGUACAUUUUUGAAUUUACACAAGCAUUAUUUGCAAAAAAAAUUCUACAAAAGCAUUAUUUUCAUACAUUUUGAAUUUUUUUAUCAAAAUUUUUUUAGCCCAAAUAGUUUUGUAAUCCUAGUUCCGUCCCUGGUCCGUGCUGCAUUAUUAUUAAAAUGUUUAUGAUUGUUUUCAUGGACUUGAAUUUUACCCACACUCACAGGCUAUAACCCGAAUCUUGUUUGUUCUAUGGAUAAGAUUAUACUUUGGAUUGAUCUAUGGUUCUACCCAUGAAAUGCUUCUGUUUUAUCUAUGUGAGCUACUUACAAUUCCGCCUCCUCCCCCCUAAGUAGCUCUUCCUAAACAAUCCAAUUGAGCACUUUUAUUGAAUUUGGUUAUAAUGAUGAUAAAGCUUGAUUGGAAAUAGUAAUAUAUAUUUGUUGUGGCAUGGUGUUUAUACUGUUUUAAAUGAAUGCGUGCACUAAUGAUAUUUUCUGUGUUCGCUACCAAAAGAUAUCUGAACUUGCCAAAAUAUAACCAGAAAAGUUGGUUAGGGUGUAUAGCCUACUUGAAAUUUGGGCAUUCAUAAUUGUUAUUGAACCAGUUGCCCUUCUUGUUGGAAACAGGUCCAUGGAAGACUGAAGGUCUGAAGGCAAACCACUCGCCAUGGUCGGAAAAAAAGGAAGGAGGAGCACCGCGUCAUAGACACGCAAGUAACAACAACAUUUUUAGUUUUUUCACAUGUUGUAAUUAUUUGUUCUUGUUGUUGUUACUGCUAAAAACAGUAGAAUGGGAGAACAUAGAAGAAGGCGUAAUUAUUUGUUCUUGUUGUUGUUACUGCUGAAAACAGCAAAAUGGGAGACACAUAGAUUGUUGGAUAACACCGAUUUCUCAGCCAUAUUGGGGAAGAAGAGGUUUAGUUUGUGGUACCACUGGACUGAUGUCCUUUUAAUUAAAGUGGUGGUUAUUUAGAAUGAGUCCUCCUGUUUUGUGUAGUUUGUUUUAAUUAUCAGAACAUUGUUGUUGCCUUCUCUUGACCUUAAAUAUCGUUUUUACCUCUUAACCUGCACCUCCAUGUUCAGUAGUUAAAUUGCAAUGUGAAGAAGUUAUUUAUAAGGGACAGCAGGACCUUUAAUUUGCUUGGCACUGUGAAGAGUUUCGCAAUCGGACAUUGAGCUGCCAUACAUGUAUACUGGGUUUAUGAUGCUGGUGAUGUAGGUAAAUAGACACUUGAUUUGACUAUGCUCUCUCGGCAUUGAGCUUCCUCUCUAAUAUCUCCGUGUUCUGGAUUCCAGAUUUUAUUUCUCGAUUACACACUGCUGUAUAAGUUUGAAUCCUCAAAGCUAGUGAAACGAAUCCGGAGGAAAAUUCUCUGAUUUAUCCUCCAAUCUCGCAGUAAAAACAAGUGGUUACCAUGAUGAGCUGAAAUUACACACGUACCCUUCCGUUAAUGGAACUGUCAGGAGUACGGUACUUAUGGAGCCAGCUUUUGCCAAGAAAUAGAUAGAAUAGAAACAGAGUAAGGGUUCAAGCACCACAGCCACAUUUUGAGUCGAUCACUCUUACAUGACUAACCUCUCCGUUUUGGAAAAGAAAAAGAAAAUUGAGGUAAAGCCUCAAUUCAUCUAGGUAGACAGAAUUAGUUCAGCCAAAAUUUCUCUUCUUCUCAAUUAAUCGUCCAACAUGGUGAUAUAUGAAUCUGGGUGGUGGUUUUGAUGGAUCUGGGCGUUUUCGGGUUGGCCAUUUCGGACUCGCUAGCCAUCAUUGAUGAGGGUCGAGCUGGACCGCGGCGGCAAUGGGUUCAGCAGGCCCGUCGUGGGCAAGCUAUUGAUGACAACGACGGCGAAAAAGAAGAAGAAUUCUGAGACGGGUAGUUCGAACCGGGUCGGGCUCUGCGCGAAUGGGUUUGGAGGCGUGGCAGCACCAAGAGAUCUGGGGGAGGGGACUGACCGACUGAGUUUGAGUUUGUUCUAACAGUUUAUGUUAACGAGUUGCCACACGCGCCGUUGGUGAGCCCAAACUCUGUGGAGGGAAGAAGCAAAAAAAAUAAAAAUAAAAAUCACUCCCCUUGUUAUUAUUGCUUGGCACUCCCCUUGUUAUUAUUGCUUAGCACCAAAUGCUUAGCAAUAGCACCAAAUGCGUGAUUGAGAUGUUGCUUCGCACAGAGAGAAAUACCAUCACAUGAUUCACAUGCUAACUCUCUCUCAUGCCCCUUUUAUGAUCACUUCAUGAUUGGUCUAUCAUAUAUAGUUAGCAAUUGUCUAGCUUUAGAAACAGAGCUAUAUUGCUUAGGAAGCCCUUAUAAUGAUGACUCUUAAGUUGAAGAUUAGUUGAAGAAUUUUUUGUUUAUCCCAUUUUUCGAUCUUAUAUCCACAUUUUGAUCGUUUAAUUUAUAAAAUUUAUGAGUAAAUCAUUUCUGUAAAUUUUCAGCCAUAUUGAAAAUCGUUAAGACAUUCAUAAAUGUCAUUUUUCCAUUAUGAACUUGAACGGUUCAUGUUUGACAAAUUUGAUUCGUCCAUUAAUUUGAUCUAGUUUGUUACCCUAACGAUAACCGAUUUAGCUGAAAAUUUGUAGGGCUGAUCUACACAUAUAAACCUAAAAAUUGAACAGAUAAGAUGCCAAGAUGUAAUCGAAAAAUAUGUAUUUUAAACCAUAAACCAAAAAAUCUUCAACAUAAGGAUCCUCACUAGAAAGACUCUCAUAUUGCCUAUAUGCACAAGUCAAGCAAAUACAUGUUCUCCAACUUUUGGGCCUGCUAUGCAGUUAUUUAAGUCAAAUUUCACACGUAACAAGUUAUUAUGUAACAUGAAUAACAUGAUGAUCAUCAUCAUCGAUAGGGAUAUGAUUUGUGAUCAAAGAGACUAAACGAUCUUUAGUCACCCCAACCGAUGUCCCAAUACCAUCACCGUGUUGAAAUAUGCAGUGAGCAGUUCGUGCCAUAUUGAGUGACAUGUUCACAA